GGCUGGUCUGAAAGUAGUGAGUUAUCUCAAUUGACUGUUCACAGUCAGUUACAGAUCAAACUUCUUAUUCUACUCUUUCCCUCCUCCUCACGACUGCUUUUGACUAGUCUUUU
ensembl:misc_RNA Y_RNA Y RNA